rnacentral:tRNA from 1 species
GGCUUUUUAGUAUAAUUUAUUAUUUUUGUUUUCCAAACAAAAGGUUUGUAAGCUAA